CGUGCACGCCGGAGCGUGUCCUCUCGCAUAAAAUCCAUCUCACCCUUUUGUGCACCACCGCGUGGGCACCCUUUGGGAUCGAACCGAUCCAGGAGGGCGCUUGCGUUUUCACACAAACCCCCUUAUAAAAGUGUAGAAUGACCCCAUUUUUGCGAUAACACGCAAUCAAUACAACUUUCAACAACGGAUCUCUUGGCUCUCGCAUCGAUGAAGAACGCAGCGAAAUGCGAUACGUAAUGUGAAUUGCAGAAUUCAGUGAAUCAUCGAAUCUUUGAACGCACCUUGCGCCCCUUGGUAUUCCGAGGGGCACACCCGUUUGAGUGUCGUGAAAAUCUCAACCUCCUCGGUUUCUUCUGGACGCCGAAGGAGGCUUGGACUUUGGAGGCCUUUGCUGGCGUCUCUCGCCAGCUCCUCUCAAAUGAAUUAGCGGGGUCCUCUUUGCCGAUCCUCGACGUGUGAUAAGAUGUUUCCAUGUCUUGGUUUCUGGCUCUGUCGCCUUUGGGACCCGCUUCUAACCGUCUCAAGUCGAGACAACGUUUGAGCGUGUCUCCCUUCUCGGGAAACACCCUCGAGCCCACGAACCCUUGACCUCAAAUCGGGUGAGACUACCCGCUGAACUUAAGCAUAUCAAUA
rnacentral:rRNA from 1 species